rnacentral:rRNA from 1 species
CCUACGGGUGGCAGCAGUGAGGAAUAUUGGUCAAUGGACGAGAGUCUGAACCAGCCAAGUAGCGUGAAGGAUGACUGCCCUAUGGGUUGUAAACUUCUUUUAUAUGGGAAUAAAAUGUUCCACGUGUGGGAUUUUGUAUGUACUAUAUGAAUAAGGAUCGGCUAACUCCGUGCCAGCAGCCGCGGUAAUACGGAGGAUCCGAGCGUUAUCCGGAUUUAUUGGGUUUAAAGGGAGCGUAGGUGGGUUGUUAAGUCAGUUGUGAAAGUUUGCGGCUCAACCGUAAAAUUGCAGUUGACACUGGCAGUCUUGAGUACAGUAGAGGUGGGCGGAAUUCGUGGUGUAGCGGUGAAAUGCUUUGAUAUCACGAAGAACUCCGAUUGCGAAGGCAGUUCACUGAACUGCAACUGACACUGAGGCUCGAAAGUGUGGGUAUCAAACAGGAUUAGAUACCCGGGUAGUC